rnacentral:rRNA from 1 species
AGACGCGGCCUAAUCCCACUUGGACAAAAAGACCCCGUGGAGCUUUACUGUAGUUUGACAUUGUCUUGACAAUUUUUGAUCGUCUAGUAUAGGAGGGAGCCGCAAGGCAAUAGUGUAAUACCUCUCGUUAGAGAUUGUUGGACUUACUCAUUUCCCCUAAAGACGGGGAAGGGAAUAGUGCUAGAUGGGCAGUUUUACUGGGGCGGUACCCUGCCAAAGAGUAACGCAGGGGCACAAAGGUUGGCUUGUUACGGAUGGAAACCGUAAUGUAACUGCAAAGAGAUAAGCCAGCUUGACUGCAACACCGAAGGGUGAAGCAGGUACGAAAGUAGGUCUUAGUGAUCCCCCGAUCCUUCAUGGGAGGGACGGGGCUUAACUGAUAAAAGCUACGCCGGGGAUAACAGAGUAGUCGCGCCCGAGAGUCCAUAUCGACGGCGCGGUUCGCUACCUCGAUGUCGGCUCAUCACAUCCUGGGGGUGAAGAAUCUCCCAAGGGUUGGUCUGUUCGCCCAUUAAAGUGAUACGCGAGCUGGGUUCAGAACGUCGUGAGACAGUUCGGACUCUAUCCAGUGGGAUCGUUCGAGUUUUGAUAGGAGCUCUUCUCAGUACGAGAGGACCAGAAGGGGGGAAUCCCUGGUGUGCCGGUUGUGUCAUCAGACGCAGCGCCGGGUAGCUAUAUUCCUCAUUGAUAACCGCUGAAAGCAUCUAAGCGGGAAGCAUACCCAAAGAUUAGAACUCGUUGUUCGAAAGAACGUGAGACCCCCGAGAGAAUAUCGGGUAUAACCGGCUAGCAGUGGAAGCGCCGUAAGGCGUUAAGCUUAUUAGUACGGAUUGGUCGAAGAAAACCAUGCA